UUUUCAGGAGAAAAAGAAAUGGCAAUUCAUCUGAUAGUGCAGAUCCAAGACAGGAUAAUAUCUACAGUAAUGUGGGAGAGAUAUCGGCUGUCAGCGAUUCAACACCUGAUCCAGAUCCAUCCAAUCAGGAUGAUGUUCAGUACGCCACAGUUGUACCUCGUAGACUCAAACCAAGCCCUGCAGUGAACGCUUCUUCUAAUGGAACUGAUGAAGAGGUCCAGUAUGCCACUGUCCAGCACCGCCGUGAUAAAGUGGUGAAGAAACCUGCAGGGGACGACGUCGAGUACGCUAGUGUCCGAUUUUCCCGAAGUGGUGCUAGAGGCAGGUCUAAUGCUCCCCUUAUUGAGGAUGAUUCCGUGAUCUACAGCAGCCUGAAAUAAACAACGUUC